AAAAUCUGCUUAAAUUCUUCUUCCAGCUUGGUUAUAGCCUUGGCUAGUAAAUUAUUUAUAUGGCUGAGCUCUUGAAGCUUUUGUUGUCACUAAAAAACCUAAUGUUGUUUCUUAGUUGCUCAAUUGCUUGAAGAUGGCUUUCCAGGUCCUCAUGUGGCCCUUCAAGUAUUUUAGCUUCAGUCAACAGAAACAAGUAAAACAAAGAUAUCA
rnacentral:lncRNA from 1 species